GAUCAUGGCUCAGGAUGAACGCUAGCUACAGGCUUAACACAUGCAAGUCGAGGGGAAACGAUAGAGAAAGCUUGCUUUUGGUGGGUGUCGACCGGCGCACGGGUGAGUAACGCGUAUCCAACCUGCCCACCACUUGGGGAUAACCUUGCGAAAGUAAGACUAAUACCCAAUGAUAUCUCUAGAAGACAUCUGAAAGAGAUUAAAGAUUUAUCGGUGAUGGAUGGGGGAUGCGUCUGAUUAGCUUGUUGGCGGGGUAACGGCCCACCAAGGCGACGAUCAGUAGGGGUUCUGAGAGGAAGGUCCCCCACAUUGGAACUGAGACACGGUCCAAACUCCUACGGGAGGCAGCAGUGAGGAAUAUUGGUCAAUGGGCGAGAGCCUGAACCAGCCAAGUAGCGUGCAGGAUGACGGCCCUAUGGGUUGUAAACUGCUUUUAUAAGGGAAUAAAGUGAGAGUCGUGACUCUUUUUGCAUGUACCUUAUGAAUAAGGACCGGCUAAUUCCGUG
rnacentral:rRNA from 1 species